rnacentral:tRNA from 1 species
GCCUGGGUGGCUCAGUCAAUUGAGCACCCGACUUCUGCUCAGGAUAUGUUCUUGCAGUUUGUGGGUUCGAGCCCCGUGUCGGGCU